GCCAAAAGAUUUUAUAUGUAAUGUUAGCCGCAAGAAAUCAAUCGGUUCAAGACAUCAUUAUUUUUCACUCAUACAUACAUAUAAUCACUUCAAUAUCCCUUGCGGGUUUGACAGAGCCAGCAAUCGUGAAAGACGUAUUUAGUGUAUUUAUCCUUUUAAAAAUUUUGUGAUGUUGUUCCACAAAACUACAAAAAUUUUGUGUAUUUGAAAAGUACUUCGGUACUUAACGGACAAGUUGCGAAAUGUCGUUUUACGUUGUUGGUGAAAACUUUUAGCUUUGGGAUUGCUGGACACACUGUCGAUCAGCCCAGCGGUCAAGGAAUGCACUGCGCGAGUAGUACAGCGACACCUCAGCUCUACACCUGCAUCUUGGCUUUUGUUCCUGCUUGUUGAUUUUGUUCCAGGACCCAGAGGAUUGAAAAUACGUGGCGAUGGUUCUAGACCGGCUGUUCCUGUGGAUCUUCACGCUGGCGGCGGUGGUGGGGUCGGCCGGCAUCAUGCUGCAGGCGCCCACGCUGUACGACGAGCGGCUCUCGGAGAUCGCGUACGCCGCCGCCGAGCCGCGCCCGUCGCCGCCGCCGCGCUCAGCGACCCUGGCCCGCAUCCGACGAGGCGAUGCGACCUGUCCAUAUAUCCAGAGCCAACAGUAUUGAGUCAAGAUACUCUUUAUUGUGUAAUUUUACUAUAUUGUAAAUAAUAUACAGACUAUAGUUUAUACGACGAGCGAUGCUAUUAAGAAUGAGUCUAAUUUCUUUUGAUAGAGACGAAAUAAAUCGAUUGUUUAUA
rnacentral:lncRNA from 1 species